AAACUGGAGAGUUUGAUCCUGGCUCAGAACUAACGCUGGCGGCGUGCCUAACACAUGCAAGUCGUACGAGAAAGUUGGCUUCGGCCGAUGAGUAAAGUGGCGCACGGGUGAGUAACGCGUGGAUAAUCUACCUUUUAGUUUGGAAUAACGUACCGAAAGGUGCGCUAAUACCGGAUAAUGCUGCACAACUACUGUUGUGUCGUCAAAGAAGGCUUCUGUUUACAUGCUUUUGCUGAAAGAUGAGUCCGCGUACCAUUAGCUAGUUGGUAGGGUAAUGGCCUACCAAGGCUACGAUGGUUAGCUGGUCUGAGAGGAUGAUCAGCCACACUGGAACUGAGACACGGUCCAGACUCCUACGGGAGGCAGCAGUGAGGAAUAUUGCGCAAUGGGGGCAACCCUGACGCAGCAACGCCGCGUGAGUGAGGAAGGUUUUCGGACCGUAAAGCUCUGUCGAGCGGGAAGAAAUGCAUGGUGGCUAAUAUCCAUCAUGCUUGACGGUACCGCUAAAGGAAGCACCGGCUAACUCCGUGCCAGCAGCCGCGGUAAUACGGGGGGUGCAAGCGUUGUUCGGAAUUAUUGGGCGUAAAGAGCGUGUAGGCGGCUGAAUAAGUCAGAUGUGAAAUCCCUGGGCUUAACCCAGGACGUGCAUUUGAAACUAUUCAGCUUGAGUAGGGGAGAGGAAAGUGGAAUUCCUGGUGUAGAGGUGAAAUUCGUAGAUAUCAGGAGGAACACCGGUGGCGAAGGCGACUUUCUGGCCCUAUACUGACGCUGAGACGCGAGAGCGUGGGUAGCAAACAGGAUUAGAUACCCUGGUAGUCCACGC
rnacentral:rRNA from 1 species